rnacentral:rRNA from 1 species
CCUACGGGUGGCAGCAGUAGGGAAUCUUGCGCAAUGGGCGAAAGCCUGACGCAGCAACGCCGCGUGAUCGAGACGCCCUUCGGGGUGUAAAGAUCUGUCAGUGGGGACGAAGCAAGUGACGGUACCUGAGGAAUAAGCCACGGCUAACUACGUGCCAGCAGCCGCGGUAAUACGUAGGUGGCAAGCGUUAUCCGGAUUUACUGGGUGUAAAGGGCGUGUAGGCGGGACUGCAAGUCAGAUGUGAAAACCACGGGCUCAACCUGUGGCCUGCAUUUGAAACUGUAGUUCUUGAGUACUGGAGAGGCAGACGGAAUUCCUAGUGUAGAGGUGAAAUGCGUAGAUAUUAGGAGGAACACCAGUGGCGAAGGCGGUCUGCUGGACAGCAACUGACGCUGAGGCGCGAAAGCGUGGGGAGCAAACAGGAUUAGAUACCCUGGUAGUC